UGGAAAACAGCCUCCAUGCUCUGGAGACCAACUCAGUACCUUGUGCUGACGUGGACCAUUGCUCGACCACGUGCGGACACGUCAUGAUUCAAAGGCCGCCAUGAUGAGUCGGCAGGUGAUCGCAAGCCAUAGGGAUGAAGCCAAGCAAUUGGAGGACUGUUCGUGGGCCCCAGUCGCACCGCCCAAUGCCAUCGUCCCCGUCGCGUGGUAGAACGGGAGACCCAUCGCCAGGUCAGCAUCCACUCCCGAGUCUUGGACGGUAAUGAUGUGGAGAGAAGGGUGUGGGGGCCCACAACACCCACCGCCCUCCGUGAGGUCGAAUCAAAGUCUGGCUCCCCUGCCAAUGUUGGUCGUUUGGUGCGACUCCAUGAUCGGGUGGGUCCAAAAAAGAAGGAAAAGGACACGGACGGCGAGCGCUACCAAACCUUGCGUGAUUUCCCCUCUCUCUCUCAGUCAAUUAGGGUAUGGUAUUCGCAGAUGGAUCUAGCAGCUAGGAUUCAAGACUUUCUGAAGACAAUCUAUUAUGUGCAUGCCGGGGAAGGCUCAUCCUGCCAUCUUAUCAUGGAAAACAACAACCUAAUGUUGUUCAAAUAUUUGACAUGUAUCAUGUUGCCGGCUGCUGUAUUUUGAUUUCCCAUCAUGUAGAUAAUGAAAGGAUUAGAGUUGUGAUCUCUCGUGCGAAAGAACGGUUCAUCUUCUUUUGCAUGAAUCCAUCAUUGGAAUGUCCAUCGGUUGCUUUGGGAUCUGUGCAGAUGGAUGGAUGGUAAAGUUUAGAGCUCUUUGAGAUUUGUGCAAUGUGUAAAGAAAGGUAAAUCCUUUCACGUGAAAGAUAUACACCAUGAUAUCCAAUAAUCGAAUGCAAUGUUUUAAGUUUUAGAAUUGUACGUCCACCUAAACUUGUAGGAAUAUGAGCUCAAUAUUCCUAAGAUCCAUAC
rnacentral:lncRNA from 1 species